rfam:Brassica oleracea var. oleracea cultivar TO1000 chromosome C9, whole genome shotgun sequence
AAUCCGUGGUGUGGACAGUCUCUCUGGUAAGACUUGAAUCUGAUCCAAGAGCCUCUGAAUGAUUCUACAGGCUCCUGAGUGAAUGUAGCAAUCUUGCUCUUCGAGUCU